GAUGAACGCUGGCGGCGUGCCUAAUACAUGCAAGUCGAGCGGACGGACGAAAAGUUUGCUUCUCUGAUGUUAGCGGCGGACGGGUGAGUAACACGUGGAUACCCUACCUAUAAGACUGGGAUAACUUCGGGAAAGCGUAGAUAACACCGGAUAAUAUUUUGAACCGUAGGGUUCAAAAGUGAAAGACGGUCUUGCUGUCACUUAUAGAUGGAUCCGCGCUGGAUUAGCUAGUUGGUAAGGUAACGGCUUACCAAGGCAACGAUGCAUAGCCGACCUGAGAGGGUGAUCGGCCACACUGGAACUGAGACACGGUCCAGACUCCUACGGGAGGCAGCAGUAGGGAAUCUUCCGCAAUGGGCGAAAGCCUGACGGAGCAACGCCGCGUGAGUGAUGAAGGUCUUCGGAUCGUAAAACUCUGUUAUUAGGGAAGAACAUAUGUGUAAGUAACUGUGCACAUCUUGACGGUACCUAAUCAGAAAGCCCCGGCUAACUACGUG
rnacentral:rRNA from 1 species